AGUGCAACUGAGCAGAAGUGGCUGAAGCAGGAUUUGUCCAGCACUCUGUUUUUUUGAGGCCAGAAUGCAGCGCUUUCCACUGUGUCAUAAAGAAGUGAAACAGGAAAAUGUCAUGGUUGAAAGUCCCCUCCCAGACUGAAAGAGCUGGUGAAGCAGGGGAAGAAAAGUUACGGGCCCUCAUUCCAUUCUGGAACCACUUUAUCUGAAAAAAAUGAAAGAAAGAAAAGAAAAGGAAGUUAUAGGCUUCAUGUUUCAUUUCCACAUUCUAGAUGUGGUCAGCAGCUGCAUCGUAGAAGGACAGGAUAUGGAAGCCACACACUGGCUGCGCCAUUCUGCAUCUGAGCAAGAUUCUCCUAGCAAAAUAAAGAUUCAUUCUUGAAACAGCCAGGGACUGUGCUGUACUGUCUGUUCCCAGGAGGACUGAAGGGGAAAUUAGUCAUCUGCCAAGGAGCCAUAGGAAGGAAGAUGAUAAACUCAAGGAAAAAGAGUCACAUGUCUUUUUUUGUCCUUACUUCUAAACCCGAGUGUACUCUUGACAAAAGUAAUGCAGCAGCCAGGAGUUUUGAAUACAGGAGGGACAUAAAGUGCCUGUUAAAUGCGACCAUUGAUCUUACUUCCCUCCUUUCUAAUGGAGUAUUACAUCUUUAUUUUUAAGUUUGCACAUCAGAUGAGGUAAACUGGAGAGUGGUAUCUGUAUAGUGCUGCAGAGAAACGUGAAAAAAUGAGCUACACCUAACGUUGUCUGGAGCCCUUGCUACAGACCCACCCCAUAAUUUGGCAGCCAGGCAGAGAAGGGCUGUACCCACCCUUGCUAGGGGCACAGUUUCGCCAUUAUAGCUCUGUAGAUAAGAUAUGUAUUUAUUUCCUAGAUUAUUCCUAAUGAUAGUGGGAAAAUCUCUGAAACUUUCCAGGAUCUAAGAGAUACUUAGACUGCUGCUUACACUCGAGCAAGCCUCUUCAUUACUGGCUCUUCCACUGUUUCAUGCCUUCCCUCAGAGUUGGCCCUUUCAAUCACUUUUGUAUUGUUUGUUGGUUUUUGAAUGACAG
ensembl:lncRNA